AUAGCAGCAAAAAAAAAAGGAAGCAGCAGGAUUAAACACUUCAUGAUAAGCCGAGCUGAGUUUUUUAAAAAAAGAUCAUAAAUACACCAAAAACUAUUGGGUUACUUCCCAAUUCAGUAGUUCUAUAUUUUGCCUGUAUUUUUUUCUGUUACAACGCAGGGAAUACUGCCUCGGAUCAAUAAAGCAGUUCCCACAACUGACACCGCUGAUGAUGGUGGUGAUGAUGAUGAUGAUGAUGGUGAUGAUGGACAGCCAUCAUCACAGUGCAAACCGGGCUUUUUGCAGAUUUCGACUUAAAGGACCUCUCAUCUGUUGUUGGGAGCGUGAAUGUUUCCGGGAGAACUAACAGCGUAUGAACAGGGGGGAGAGUUUGCCUGACUCCAAUACAAGAAAAAGAUCCAAGAGAACCAGUUGCAGGUGCGGUGGGGGGACCUGGCAGGGCCCGACCGACAGAGAAGCACAAGAAACUAUAAUGUUAGGGAUUCCGGUGAAUCCAAACGUACAAUGCAAUGGAAACCAAGCCGCGCGUAUUGGCUCAGACCACAGUUGUAUCAAGGUACGGUGUUUACAUCCAACACAUCAGAGGUGAGGCACAAGCCCGGAGAGGGGCCCUCACAUCAGACCCACGGCGGCGCGCCGUCCCUGCUGGAGAACAAAAACGGGAUUACAGUGAUGCACCGACCGCUGGCUUCAUUCUGAAAGUGUUCACUUUAUUUUUCUUGGUUUACACAUCCCGACAAUUGUUUGGAAGUGGAUGUAAGGUUGAUUCUUGAUGAAAUAAAGUUAUGACACACAUGUAACAGGUAUAGUGACAUUAAAAUAGUACAUCACCAUGGCUGUUUAAAAAAAAAAAA